CUGGCGACCGGCGCACGGGUGAGUAACACGUAUCCAACCUGCCCUUUACUCGGGGAUAGCCUUUCGAAAGAAAGAUUAAUACCCGAUGGCAUAAUGAUUCCGCAUGGUUUCAUUAUUAAAGGAUUCCGGUAAAGGAUGGGGAUGCGUUCCAUUAGGUUGUUGGUGAGGUAACGGCUCACCAAGCCUUCGAUGGAUAGGGGUUCUGAGAGGAAGGUCCCCCACAUUGGAACUGAGACACGGUCCAAACUCCUACGGGAGGCAGCAGUGAGGAAUAUUGGUCAAUGGGCGCUAGCCUGAACCAGCCAAGUAGCGUGAAGGAUGAAGGCUCUAUGGGUCGUAAACUUCUUUUAUAUAAGAAUAAAGUGCAGUAUGUAUACUGUUUUGUAUGUAUUAUAUGAAUAAGGAUCGGCUAACUCCGUGCCAGCAGCCGCGGUAAUACGGAGGAUCCGAGCGUUAUCCGGAUUUAUUGGGUUUAAAGGGAGCGUAGGUGGACUGGUAAGUCAGUUGUGAAAGUUUGCGGCUCAACCGUAAAAUUGCAGUUGAUACUGUCAGUCUUGAGUACAGUAGAGGUGGGCGGAAUUCGUGGUGUAGCGGUGAAAUGCUUAGAUAUCACGAAGAACUCCGAUUGCGAAGGCAGCUCACUGGACUGCAACUGACACUGAUGCUCGAAAGUGUGGGUAUCAAACAGGAUUAGAUACCCUGGUAGUCCACACAGUAAACGAUGAAUACUCGCUGUUUGCGAUAUACAGUAAGCGGCCAAGCGAAAGCAUUAAGUAUUCCACCUGGGGAGUACGCCGGCAACGGUGAAACUCAAAGGAAUUGACGGGGGCCCGCACAAGCGGAGGAACAUGUGGUUUAAUUCGAUGAUACGCGAGGAACCUUACCCGGGCUUAAAUUGCAGUGGAAUGAUGUGGAAACAUGUCAGUGAGCAAUCACCGCUGUGAAGGUGCUGCAUGGUUGUCGUCAGCUCGUGCCGUGAGGUGUCGGCUUAAGUGCCAUAACGAGCGCAACCCUUAUCUUUAGUUACUAACAGGUCAUGCUGAGGACUCUAGAGAGACUGCCGUCGUAAGAUGUGAGGAAGGUGGGGAUGACGUCAAAUCAGCACGGCCCUUACGUCCGGGGCUACACACGUGUUACAAUGGGGGGUACAGAAGGCAGCUAGCGGGUGACCGUAUGCUAAUCCCAAAAGCCUCUCUCAGUUCGGAUCGAAGUCUGCAACCCGACUUCGUGAAGCUGGAUUCGCUAGUAAUCGCGCAUCAGCCACGGCGCGGUGAAUACGUUCCCGGGCCUUGUACACACCGCCCGUCAAGCCAUGGGAGCCGGGGGUACCUAAAGUACGUAACCGCAAGGAUCGUCCUAGGGUAAAACUGGUGAAUG
rnacentral:rRNA from 1 species